rnacentral:rRNA from 1 species
UACGGGGGGGGCAAGCGUUGUUCGGAAUUACUGGGCGUAAAGGGCUCGUAGGUGGCCAACUAAGUCAGACGUGAAAUCCCUCGGCUUAACCGGGGAACUGCGUCUGAUACUGGAUGGCUUGAGUUCGGGAGAGGGAUGCGGAAUUCCAGGUGUAGCGGUGAAAUGCGUAGAUAUCUGGAGGAACACCGGUGGCGAAGGCGGCAUCCUGGACCGACACUGACGCUGAGGCGCGAAAGCCAGGGGAGCAAACGGGG